AGUGAACGCUGGCGGCGUGCUUAACACAUGCAAGUCGAGCGAUGAAAGCCUUAUGAACUAUUCGUAGUGAUUGAGGCCGGAUUAGCGGUGGACGGGUGAGUAACGCGUGAGCAACCUGCCUUAAACAACGGGAUAGCCUCGGGAAACCGGGAUUAAUACCGUAUGAGACCCCGCCUUCACAUGAAGAAGAGGUUAAAGAUUUAUCGGUUUAAGAUGGGCUCGCGUCUGAUUAGCUAGUUGGUGAGAUAAAAGCCCACCAAGGCAACGAUCAGUAGCCGGCUUGAGAGAGUGAACGGUCACAUUGGAACUGAGACACGGUCCAAACUCCUACGGGAGGCAGCAGUGGGGAAUAUUGCACAAUGGGGGAAACCCUGAUGCAGCGACGCCGCGUGAGCGAUGAAGGAAUUCGUUUCGUAAAGCUCUGUCCAAGGGGAAGAUAAUGACAGUACCCUUGGAGGAAGCCCCGGCUAAAUACGUGCCAGCAGCCGCGGUAACAC
rnacentral:rRNA from 1 species